GCCAGGCAUGGUGGCGCAUGCCUGUAAUCCCAGCUACUCAGGAGGCUGAGGUAGGAGAAUUGCUGGAACCCGGGAGGCAGAGGUUGCAGUGAGCGGAGAUCGCACCACUGCACUCCAGCCUGGGUGACAGAGCAAGACUCUAUCUCAA
ensembl:misc_RNA Metazoa_SRP Metazoan signal recognition particle RNA